AAGAAAAAAGAAAAAAGAAAAAAAGAAGAAGAAGAAGAAGAAAAGGAGAAGCUGUGGGAAGAAGAGAGAUUGUUGAAGAAGACGAGGCGAUGGGAUUGGCCGGUUUCUGCAACUCCAUCACCGAUCCCAAAAGAAAUUGGAAUAUCAUACUUGCCAAACCCCCCAGAUGGUGUCUGCUAUAUUGAGAUGGGGAAACUAGUGUGAAGAUCAGAAAGGCAUUUGAAAAGACUUGGGAUUGUUUAACUCCAGAGAAAGUGUGAAUUUUGGUUGGCAAGGAGAGCAAGUUACCUUCAUGCAUGCCUAAUGUGUGCUCACUUUGCAAAGGAAUAGGUAAUUUUGCUUGUCGUUUUGUACUUUAUUCUCAAUUGAUCAAUAUCUUUGACCUCUCAAAAAUUAAGAUUCUUCUAUUUAUUAGUCGUGUAGUCAGCUUCAAAAACUGUUAUUAUAGCCUAUGUGACAUUUGCAUUUGAUUUUGCAAAUGGGCUGGAAGAAUGCAGCAUACAAUUACUUUGUUACUUCCCCUGUAUAGCAUGUAGCACAGUUAACUAGUUACAUAUC